rnacentral:misc_RNA from 1 species
ACAACCAAUCAAGCCUGGCUUGCAGUUGAAUCGGCCCCCUUAACCAGGGGCGGUUUGAAAGACAACGGCAGGGUGAGAAGAACCCCGAAUGCAACGAGCUUUUCACAGCACGCAUUCUAGGAGACCGAUCACCCUUGUCUUUGACCAACUUCUAUCAA